AACCUCCGCAAUGUGAGAAAUCGCGACGGGGGGAUUCCAAGUGCCAUUCUUAACGGGAUGGCUUUUCAUUAGUGUAAAGAGCUUUUGGAAUAAGAGCUGGGCAAGACCGGUGCCAGCCGCCGCGGUAACACCGGCAGCUCUAGUGGUAACAAUUUUUAUUGGGCCUAAAGCGUCCGUAGCCGGUUUAAUAAGUCUCUGGUGAAAUCCUGCAGCUUAACUGUGGGAAUUGCUGGAGAUACUAUUAGACUUGAGACCGGGAGAGGUUAGAGGUACUCCCAGGGUAGAGGUGAAAUUCUGUAAUCCUGGGAGGACCGCCUGUUGCGAAGGCGUCUAACUGGAACGGUUCUGACGGUGAGGGACGAAAGUUAGGGGCGCGAACCGGAUUAGAUACCCGGGUAGUCCUAACUGUAAACGAUGCGGACUUGGUGUUGGGGUGGCUUUGAGCUGCUUCAGUGCCGAAGGGAAGCUGUUAAGUCCGCCGCCUGGGAAGUACGGUCGCAAGACUGAAACUUAAAGGAAUU
rnacentral:rRNA from 1 species